rnacentral:rRNA from 1 species
UACGGGGGGGGCAAGCGUUGUUCGGAAUUACUGGGCGUAAAGGGCUCGUAGGUGGCCAACUAAGUCAGACGUGAAAUCCCUCAGCUUAACUGGGGAACUGCGUCUGAUACUGGAUGGCUUGAGUUCGGGAGAGGGAUGCGGAAUUCCAGGUGUAGCGGUGAAAUGCGUAGAUAUCAGGAGGAACACCGGUGGCGAAGGCGGGUCUCUGGGCCGAUACUGACGCUGAGGAGCGAAAGCGUGGGGAGCGAACAGG